GCAUAUCAAUAAGCGGAGGAAAAGAAACUAACAAGGAUUCCCCUAGUAACUGCGAGUGAAGCGGGAAAAGCUCAAAUUUAAAAUCUGGCGGUCUCUGGCCGUCCGAGUUGUAGUCUGGAGAAGUGUCUUCCGCGCUGGACCGUGUAUAAGUCUCUUGGAACAGAGCGUCAUAGAGGGUGAGAAUCCCGUCUUUGGCAUGGGCUACCAGUGCUUUGUGAUGCGCUCUCAAAGAGUCGAGUUGUUUGGGAAUGCAGCUCAAAAUGGGUGGUAAAUUCCAUCUAAAGCUAAAUAUUGGCGAGAGACCGAUAGCGAACAAGUACCGUGAGGGAAAGAUGAAAAGCACUUUGGAAAGAGAGUUAAACAGUACGUGAAAUUGCUGAAAGGGAAACGCUUGAAGUCAGUCGCGUUGGCCAGGACUCAGCCUUGCUUUUGCUUGGUGUACUUUCUGGUUGACGGGCCAGCAUCGAUUUUAACCACUGGAAAAAGGCUGAGGGAAUGUGGCACCCUCGGGUGUGUUAUAGCCUUCAGUCACAUACAGUGGUUAGGAUCGAGGACCGCAGCACGCCUUUAUGGCCGGGGUUCGCCCACGUUCGUGCUUAGGAUGCUGGCGUAAUGGCUUUAAACGACCCGUCUUGAAACACGGACCAAGGAGUCUAACAUGCCUGCGAGUGUUUGGGUGGAAAACCCGAGCGCGUAAUGAAAGUGAAAGUUGAGAUCCCUGUCGUGGGGAGCAUCGACGCCCGGACCUGAACUUCGGUGAUGGAUCUGCGGUAGAGCAUGUAUGUUGGGACCCGAAAGAUGGUGAACUAUGCCUGAAUAGGGUGAAGCCAGAGGAAACUCUGGUGGAGGCUCGUAGCGAUUCUGACGUGCAAAUCGAUCGUCAAAUUUGGGUAUAGGGGCGAAAGACUAAUCGAACCAUCUAGUAGCUGGUUCCUGCGA
rnacentral:rRNA from 1 species